rnacentral:lncRNA from 10 species
GGAAGAAGGAAUCAGGAGGCAGAGCACAUGGUUAAAGCAUGAGAUGUGAAACCAGGAAGAACCAGGUCUGAACCUUAGCUCCACCAGUGGUAGCUUCAAACCUUGGUCCUUUCUGAGCCUGCUUCUUCAACCGUAAGGUGUGACUACACUGAGCAGUAACAGCAAAACCUGAAAGAGAAUGGAUACAGGUGUUCAUUUCAGAUGGUACAAGUUUAACAAAGUACAAGAGCAACUUAAGGAACUCGGAAACGGGACCCAGAAAGUUGUUUUCUCAAGUGGAUGGAACAACACAAGCAAUCAGUAUCCUGAAACAGGCCCUGUUCCAACAAACUGACCCAGAAAGAGGUUAUACCAAUUAUCUCUCCAGCAAGUAUGAGGACUCCUGUUUCCCUACGUACUCACUACUACAGCAAAGAUAUCAAACAUUGAUACCCACCAAUCUCUGGAUGGAAAAACAAAUCUCAGGAAUCGCUUGCAGGAGGCUCUGCACGUUCCUCAGAUUCAGAGUCGCUGUCCUUUUGCCUGUGAAGCUCCUCACUUUCAGAGUCACUAGCAUUAAGAUUUAAGGGCUCAUCGUUCUCAGAGUCUGUCACAUGAUGUCCUUUGGGGAGGCCAUCUUCUCGAUCACUAGUUUCAUU